rnacentral:rRNA from 1 species
CACGUAGGGCGCGAGCGUUGUCCGGAAUUACUGGGCGUAAAGCGCACGUAGGCGGCUUUCUAAGUCGGGGGUGAAAUCCUGGAGCUCAACUCCAGAACUGCCUUCGAUACUGGAGAGCUUGAGUCCGGGAGAGGUGAGUGGAACUGCGAGCGUAGAGGUGAAAUUCGUAGAUAUUCGCAAGAACACCAGUGGCGAAGGCGGCUCACUGGCCCGGUACUGACGCUGAGGUGCGAAAGCGUGGGGAGCAAACAGG